GUGUCAGCCGCCGCGGUAAUACGGAGGGGGCUAGCGUUGUUCGGAAUUACUGGGCGUAAAGCGUGCGCAGGCGGUUUUGUAAGACAGAUGUGAAAUCCCCGGGCUUAACCUGGGAACUGCGUUUGUGACUGCAAGGCUAGAGUACGGCAGAGGGGGGUGGAAUUCCACGUGUAGCAGUGAAAUGCGUAGAUAUGUGGAGGAACACCGAUGGCGAAGGCAGCCCCCUGGGCCUGUACUGACGCUCAUGCACGAAAGCGUGGGUAGCAAACAGGAUUAGAUACCCUGGUAGUCCACGCCGUAA
rnacentral:rRNA from 1 species